CCUGCCAAGCCUCUUUAAUAAUGCCCAAAUCGGCGGGU
rnacentral:ncRNA from 1 species